AGGUGAUAUGAACCGUUAUAGCCGGCGAUGUCCGAAUGGGGAAACCCAGUGCAAUCCGUUGCACUAUCACAGCAUGAAUACAUAGUGCUGUGAGGCGAACCGGGGGAACUGAAACAUCUAAGUACCCCGAGGAAAAGAAAUCAACCGAGAUUCCCCCAGUAGCGGCGAGCGAACGGGGAACAGCCCAGAGCCUGAAUCAGCCUGAGUGUUAGUGGAAGCGUCUGGAAAGUCGCGCGAUACAGGGUGACAGCCCCGUACACAAAAGCACACAGGUUGUGAGCUCGAUGAGUAGGGCGGGACACGUGGUAUCCUGUCUGAAUAUGGGGGGACCAUCCUCCAAGGCUAAAUACUCCUGACUGACCGAUAGUGAACCAGUACCGUGAGGGAAAGGCGAAAAGAACCCCGGCGAGGGGAGUGAAACAGAACCUGAAACCGUGUACGUACAAGCAGUGGGAGCCUCUUUUAUGGGGUGACUGCGUACCUUUUGUAUAAUGGGUCAGCGACUUAUAUUCUGUAGCAAGGUUAACCGUAUAGGGGAGCCGCAGGGAAACCGAGUCUUAACUGGGCGUUAAGUUGCAGGGUAUAGACCCGAAACCCGGUGAUCUAGCCAUGGGCAGGUUGAAGGUUGGGUAACACUAACUGGAGGACCGAACCGACUAAUGUUGAAAAAUUAGCGGAUGACCUGUGGCUGGGGGUGAAAGGCCAAUCAAACCGGGAGAUAGCUGGUUCUCCCCGAAAGCUAUUUAGGUAGCGCCUCGUGAA
rnacentral:rRNA from 1 species